rnacentral:lncRNA from 1 species
AAGCUGUGUAACAACUUAGGAGUCUUACAUCUUGUUCUUUCAUCUUGCAACUAUAUUUCUGUUAUUUUAGCAUUUCAUUUCAUAAUGAUUCUGUUGGCUCAUUCUACAGGAAAGGGGUCUGAAGUGAUAGACAUUUUGACAGUUGAACAAAGUUCAGGGAAGAAUAGAACAGACAAUAGAGUUCUAGACAGAAAGUUAAAAAAUGGAGGACAAUUUUUAUGCUUAUAAUUAUAGUUAAUAGUUGAUGAGUGUGAACAAUUGUUUCAAAUAAUCUGUUUGUGAUUUCCCCUCAAGGAUCUUGACCAGCCCUUUGACCCAAUUCAGCAAGUCUGGCUGAGGCUCAAAUGGAAAAUUGGAUAAUGGUGAGAAGCAUUCAACCCAUGGCUUUCAAAGGAGGCUUUGUUCUUCUUGGUUUUAUAAAGGAGUGGGCUUGAGGGUUCUCCAGCAUCAAAGGGAGAGACAUCAUGGCUUCCAUGAAGAUCCUGCUGCUCUUGUUCUCAAUGGUCCUGCUGGCCUUGACUUCAGCCCAGAGGAUAGAUGAUGGUAGUGUUUCUGAAGAUGUCUUUGAAGAGCAAGGAGCCCUUGAAGAAGUUGAAGAGCUACAGUCUGAUGAAUUAAGUAAAGGAAGGCCAAAGGAACCCCAGAUCAAAUCUCAAGGAGAAUUUCAAGGUCAGCAUGGCAAGAAGGGCAAAAAUGGAAGAAAAGGCCAGAAGCAGCAGAAUGGCCCCAGCAGUCAAACUUUCCAAGGAGACCAGGAGCUUGCACAAGGAAAGUCACGUGGUAAAGGUGGCCAAAAAGGCAAAGGCCGGCCAGGGUGGUCAGGGUCAGCAGGGCGGCCAACGUGGAAGAGGCAGACAGGGUGGUCAGCGUGACCAGUGACCAGGAAACCAACUGAAGAUGGCCUCCCUAGAAACCCAUGAAGAUUAAUUGGUGAUCAUGGAUUUGUCAGAAAUGAAAAGUUCUGGCCUUUUCUUUCUCCAACUUUAAAGCAGCAAUAAAAUCAUUAGCAUUCAAAGCUUGGCUCA